rnacentral:rRNA from 1 species
GAAAAGAUACGGGCUAACACCUCGUGUCUUGACGGUACCGGCGGAAUAAGCACCGGCUAACUACGUGCCAGCAGCCGCGGUAAUACGUAGGGUGCGAGCGUUAAUCGGAAUUACUGGGCGUAAAGCGUGCGCAGGCGGUUCGUUAAGUUCGAUGUGAAAGCCCCGGGCUCAACCUGGGAACGGCAUUGGAAACUGGCGAGCUUGAGUGUGGCAGAGGGGGGUGGAAUUCCGCGUGUAGCAGUGAAAUGCGUAGAGAUGCGGAGGAACACCGAUGGCGAAGGCAGCCCCCUGGGCCAACACUGACGCUCAGGCACGAAAGCGUGGGGAGCAAACAGGAUUAGAUACCCUGGUAGUCCACGCCCUAAACGAUGCUCACUAGGUGUUGGGGAAGCGAUUCCUUGGUACCGUAGCUAACGCGUGAAGUGAGCCGCCUGGGGAGUACGGCCGCAAGGUUAAAAACUCAAAAGGAAUUGACGGGGAC